rnacentral:lncRNA from 1 species
GAUCGAAGGGUUCCAGAACUUGAGAUUUUCAGUGCUAAAACUGGAAAAGUCCCAGGAAAAUAGUACUGAAUUGGUUCCCCUACCAAAGUUCUGGGUGUAAUUUAAAGGAAAAUCCAGUGAUCAGAGGAAGGGAGAAGAGACAGAGAUUUUAUUAACCAAAGUCCCAGGAAAAUAGUACUGAAUUGUUUCCCCUACCAAAAUUCUGCAUGUAAUUUAAAGGAAAAUCCGGUGAUCAGAGAAAGGAAGAAGAGACAGCAAUUUUAUUAACUAGGCAGCCAUCCUGACACAAUGGGAGCCAACCACAUCCUGACCAAACUUAACCAGUGAGGCUUCCACAAAGAUUUAAGAGUUCCAGUAGCUUCCUGAUACCCCCUCCCCAACUCUUCUGCUCUCCUCACAGCACACAGAAGGCAUCCCUCUGGGAGAAGGUGACAAGCUGGGACAGUCACUGUGGGUCUCUAUCCUGAGAAGUUACUGAUCCUGUGUUCCCUGGUGAAGGCUGCCACAACCAGAACCACAGCCAGGAAGACCCCAGAAGAGAUGGCAGUGCUGUGAUACCUCCCCUGGGUGCUGGCUGUCUCCUCCACAUCAGCCACCAACACGUCUGGGAAGGAGAGGAGACCACAAUAACAGACAGGGCACCAGGACAGAGCCUGGCAGAGGAGGAGAGGAAGACAAGUAAAGGCCAUGGCCCCCUGGGCAUAGUAAAGGCAAUCAGAACUGUUUGGUGGGAAAGGAUAAAAAACUUGGAGAAGGAAGUGCUGAAUGGGAAACUGAGGCCAGACCCCAAUGGGCAGCUGACUGUCAGACUAGAGAGAUUUCACGUUUAUCAGCCAAGGAGAGUCAGGGAAGUUUUUCUUAGCAGGAACUGGGAACUGGGCUUUGGGAGAACAAAUCUGGCCUGAGGCUCCAGAUGAAUGGGAGGGGAGAGAGUUGGGCAUUUUAGACCAGCUGGGAAAUGAUUACAAGAGUCCCAGGUAAGAGGCCCCCAGGACGUGAGCUACUACGGCAGCUGCAGGGAACAGGAGGGAGAGGAGGGAAGUGAGCCUGUGCCCACAGGCACCUUCGCCCUGCCCUGAUGUCCUUUGCUCCUCACUCCGACCCCAUUGCAUGCACCAUUCAUGAGACUUAUUCUGAAUUGCAUCUUUUCCUCCAAGACUUUAUCUGCCUCCUGGUGCAUAACAGUCCUUCAUUAAACAUGCAUUGAAUGAAUGAACAAGUGAGGAAAGAGUCUGGACUCAGGUGGACAUAAAGACGGCCUGAAUAGGAAUCAAGAGGAAAGAGCUGUCAAAGAUGCCCCAUGGGCAGCGCCCUGACCAAGGAGAGGGCUUGUGACAACUACUGCUGCCCCACCCACCCCCAACACCAUGGCCACCACAUCUGUUGACCUAGCCCCAGACUGGGCCAGAAAUCCUGGGCAUCACUCUGCAAACAUUCAUUCCCUCGUCCAUGCCCACAACACAGCAGCACAGCCGCACAGCAACACA